AUGCUUGUCGAGACAAACAAGCAUGAACAAUACUAUAUUGUUUACAAGCUUCUUAAGUUGGUAUUAAUUCUGCCAGUAGCUACUGCUAGUGUUGAAAGGGUGUUCUCUUCAAUGAACUAUGUGAAGAAUAAGCUAAGGAGCAAAAUGGGUGAUGAUUACUUGAACAAUUGUUUGGUUACAUUUGUUGAGAGAGAAUUCUUCAAUCAAGUAAAGGAUGAGGAUGUCAUCAAUCUCUUCCAAAAAGGCGAUCGCAAAGUUAUAUUGUAA
rnacentral:rRNA from 1 species